UGGCGACAGUGGAAAAUCUUAUAUGCUCGUGCAUGGACAAAACUAAAGGUGAAAGGUCGACAAACACGAACGCCCUAGCUAGCCGCGUAGGCUACUUGGAUUAUUUAUAAUGGGUAAAAUACAGUUGUUGGCAAUGUUUAUCAACCAGCGCUUAACAGCAGCUGCUAAAUGAGAUAUUUGGGGCUGUUGAGAAAACGAUAGCAGAGUACCUGGAAGAAGUGUACCGCUCAAAAGAGGAGAACGGCCUCUACAGAGGCAGCUUGAUAUCGUUCUCAAACCACCAGAGAUAAAAUUACAUAGGACAGACUUUCAGCAGCUCUCUCUCACUGUCUUCGAAGAGGUUUCCCCUGAGCAGCAACACUGAGCAGGAGUGGAGCCCCAGUCUGGGGCAAGAAGACCCAGAGCCCACACAGAUUAAAGAGGAACAACAACACAGGACCCGUAAGAGUUUCAUAAUGACACCUUCAUAAUUAGCUCUGACUGUGUGAAAAGUGACUAUGAUCAGGAAGAGGACUUAUGUCAGCCCUCACAUCUUUACCAAACCCAAAGUGAGGAAUAUGGACAGGGAGCCUCUCUACCUAGCACCUCAUUGGAACAGAUCAAAGCUGAACCCGAUGGAGAGGGCUACAGAGUAUUAGAGCUAACAAGUGACUCUCAGCCCCUCUCUGCAGUAAAUCCAGACUGUUCUUCAAUCCCAAGUGAGUUGUCAAAGAAGAGGAAACAGAACCUUGGAUUAGGUUUAAGCCACUCAAAUCAAAGAAAGCACAGAAAAUAACAAGCCAAAUCUCUGGUAUCUGGAAAAAAGGAAGGAAAUCCAGUCUCAUCCCAUUUUAGCCCACACUGUCAAAACCUGUUGGUGUGGUGUGUGUGGAAAUAAAUGUUACUCUGAGUUUUUUAAUAAAACAUACACGAGAACACACACGAUAUAGACCUAGAUUGCCUUUGUGGUGUCUGUGGAAAACACUUAGAGUCCAAAGAAAUUCUUAUAGACGAUCUCCAAACUCACAUGAAAAAUAUUUUUUGGCACUUGUGUGGUCAAUGUUUCAACUGGACUAGUAAUCUGAAAAGACAUAUGAUGAUUCACACAGGGGAAAGAUCCCAUUGUUGCAGUGACUGUGGCAAAGGCUUCAGGUCGGGUGAUUUGUCUGACAAAGCAUAGGAGUAUUCACACAGGGGACAAACCGUUUCCUUGCCCGGUUUGCCAUCGUGUUUUUAACAGACGAGAUAACCUGAAAGUGCAUAUGAGAGUUCACACAGGGGAGAGACCCUAUAUGUGUUCUGAAUGCUAUAAAUGUUUUGCCACGUUAGCUUCACUGAAUAAGCACCAGACAAUGCACAAUGAGGAAUGACCGUAUGUGUGCACUGAUUGCGGUACGCGCUUCAAAGCGCUUGAAUCCCAAAGAAGGCACACAAAGAGUGUUCACAAGAAGGAUAAUACAACAUGACAAUGCCUUGUAUGGGUUAUGGUAUCAGACAGAAGAUUGAGGCACAUUCUAACCAACUUUGGACAGGAGAACAGCCCUUCAGGACAAAUGCAUUGCAUUAUGGAAUCAGCACAGUAGUAUCCAUUAGUUAGUUUACCAACUGCAAAUAGCAGACAGAGGUUAUUUAUGUGCAUAAAGGACGCAUUCUGUAUCUUGUUGACAGCCAAGCGAAUAAAAAAAAAUAUAUAUAUAUAUAUAUAUAUAUAUAAAUCCACAGUCGGACGCAUUUAAUUGGCUGGGAUGCUGGAUCCGGCCUAACCCAAAUCCAGGCCUACGUAAACCCAACCACAGAAGUGAUAUGUUGAGAUUAGAUCUAAUGUUGACCUGUUAUGAUGGGAAUUAAAAUUAUCUUCUCAACAUUCUGAAUAAAAUUAGCAUUUUUGGCCUCAAUUUCAACUAUUGAUUCAAUUGUGGACUAUUCUGCUUUUCUCCAUUCCCAUUGGUGAUUGAGAGACUUCCAUGGCACGUUUGGUCUUUGACUGAUGCUGCAGACUGAACCAAAGCUAUUAUCUGCAAGGUUCUGAACAUUUCACAUGACUGAAUACACACUAGGACAUUCUUCAAAAACGACUCCACAUGAAUUCAAAAUUCAAUGAGAAGCAACAGAAUUUCAACCAAUCAUGUAUUUUUUAUUGGAUAGCUAUUAACAAGAGUUACACUGACUUACAACUUGCUGUUCAAAACAAGAAGUUUCACAUAAUGCUGCAUUCUCACCUGCAGCUCAUCAUAAAAUGCAUAACGUGGCUGAAAAAUAUGACUAUAUAUCAAGACAUUCGAGAUUCUGAUAUGGUGGUGUUGUUCCAGACAGUCUUUUUUUUCAAUGGGGAUACACAUCUUGGAAGAUUAAAACACAUAGGAGCACUUCACCAGGCUUAGUGAGAUCUGAUCAUCUGCAACAUGAUUGAAAUAAACACAACCUGGAACGGACCCAUUUUCCACUCUAACUUCACCUCCCUGAGCAUGACUAAGUCAGGAAUUUCUUGGCUCAUUUCGCUUUCACUCAAAGACAAACAGAAACAACAAUAAUGUUGAAGGAUAGGGGUCUUCCUGGGGUUAAGCUCAGAGAGACCAUCAGAGCCUCUCCUGGGGGCCCCAAAUCGAGGAACAUUUCUGGUAAGGAGCAUGGCAUUUGUUGUCGACCCUGCGUCCCUGAGUGAAAGAAACGGAAAACUAAUUGUAAUGUGAAUUCUAUUGCAUUCUUAGUCUUAUAUAACUGCAUUCUGUAACUGCCUUUAUGAGUUCCCAAAUGAGUAAUCAACACAGUGUUGUAGGUUGACGUUUUACUUGUUGACCACAAUAGUGACGUACUGUAUGACCACACUCUUCAAACAAGUAGACUGUAACCAACAUCAUGCAUAGGCUUACCAGUUGUGGAGUGAAGCACAUGAGCAACCUCAAUGUUACCUUCAGAGAGAAGAUAUCACAGUUAUUGUCAUUAAAAAACAAAACAGACAACAAUAAAACUAUUCUUUCAGAGUUCAGAUGUUGAGUAUAGCAAGCAUAGAAUAAACUGAUUUCAUCAUGCUUUCAAAAUACAAGCGUCUGAUGGUGGGAAUGUAUAAGAAGCCAAGUGAAUAAAUCAACAUGCAUCCAUAAUCAAUAAACAACUGUUUAUCAAAAUGAGAAUGAAAAUAUAUAAUGAAAAUGAAAUAUAAGAAAACAUUCAUAUAUUUACUUGAUCUUCCCUGUUGCGUAGUGACUUGCCUGUCUAACCCACAUAUGAAUUUGUUUUCCUAAAUGUGCAUGUGAUGUUAUCCCACAAAAUCAAUAAACAUUUCAAGUGAAUUUAUUUACUUGA